rnacentral:rRNA from 1 species
GACGAACGCUGGCGGCGUGCUUAACACAUGCAAGUCGUACGGUAAGGCCCUUUCGGGGGUACACGAGUGGCGAACGGGUGAGUAACACGCGAGUAACCUGCCCACAACUUUGGGAUAACGCUAGGAAACUGGUGCUAAUACUGGAUAUGUGCUCCUGCUGCAUGGUGGGGGUUGGAAAGCUCCGGCGGUUGUGGAUGGACUCGCGGCCUAUCAGCUUGUUGGUGGGGUAGUGGCCUACCAAGGCGGCGACGGGUAGCCGGCCUGAGAGGGUGACCGGCCACAUUGGGACUGAGAUACGGCCCAGACUCCGACGGGAGGCAGCAGUGGGGAAUAUUGCACAAUGGGCGCAAGCCUGAUGCAGCAACGCCGCGUGCGGGAGGACGGCCUUCGGGUUGUAAACCGCUUUCAGCAGGGACGAAGCUUUUUGUGACGGUACCUGCAGAAGAAGCACCGGCUAACUACGUG